GAGUUGCCUAGCAUUCGGACUUCGUCCCCAUUGGCUCCAUGGGCUGCUGAACUUGGCAGGAGCUCCAGUGUGGCCCUGAUGACAUUGUUCCUAAUCUCCUAGUUAGGUCGCGGCCUUCCCAGCCGGCGCUAACCCUGAAGGGGAGGAAAGAAAAAGGAGUGAAGGAGAGGAAGAAAGGAAGAAAAAGAGGGAGAGAGAACGGAAAUGUUGCUUUAUUCUAAAAAUGGUUAUUAAUAAUGGCCGAUCAAUAUUUCAUCUAAACCUAUGAGUAGGUGUGAUGCGGUAUUGACAAGAAUGUAUAUUUUGUAUAUUUAAAGUGGAGAGCUCUAUAAAUAUUUAUUAAGUUUACUUGUUCCGGAUCUGAGUUCAAGUCCUGGAUAUUCUUAUUAAUUUUCUGUCUCAUUGAGUCUAAAUCUCUUUAUAGGUCUUAUGUAUCUGGGUGUUUGGAUCGUUAGCUCUUAUUGUUGCAUUGAUCCUUUUAUCACUAUAUCUUUGUUGCUUUAAAAUCUAUUUUAUCAGAUGCGAGAAUUGCAACUCCUGCUUUUUUAUUUGUUUAUUUAUUUUUGCUCUCCAUUUGGUUGGUAAGUCUUUCUCCAUCCCUUUGUUUUGAGUCUUUGUGUAUCCUUGCAUGUGAAAUGGGUCUGGAUGUAGCAUACCAUUGGGUUUUGGCUGUAUCUUUUGAUUGGGGGAUUUAGUCUAUUUAAAUUUAGGAUUACUGCCAUUUGAUGUUAACUGGCUAUUUUAUCCAUUCGUUGAUAUAAAUUCUUUAUGUUGAUGCUCUUCACUUUUUGGUAUAUUUUUAGAAAGGCUAAUACUGGUUGUUUCUUUCUAUGUGUAAUGCUUCUUUCAGAAGCUCCUGUAAAGCAGGCCUGGUGGUAAUAAAAUCUCUGAGUACUUGCUUGUUCAUAAAAGAUUUUAUUUUUCCUUCAGUUGUGAAGCUUAGUUUGGCUGGAUAUGAAAUUCUGGGCUGAAAGUUCUGUUCUUUAAGGAUGUUGAAUAUUGGCCCCCACUCUCUUCUGGCUUGUAGUGUUUCUGCUGAGAGAUCUGCUGUAAGUUUGCUAGGCUUCCCUUUGUGGGUAACCUGAUCUUUCUCUCUGGCUGCCCUUAGUAUUUUCUCCUUCGUUUCAACCCUGGAGAAUCUAGCGAUUAUGUGCCGUGGGGUUACUCUUGAGGAAUAUCUUUGUGGUGUUCUCUGUAUUACCUGGGGUUGAAUAUUGUCCUGCUUUGCUAGGUUGGGAAAGUUUUCCUGAAUAAUAUCCUGAAGAGUAUUUUCCAGCUUGGAUUCAUUCUCUCCGUCGCAUUCAGGUACACCUAUCAAACGUAAAUUAGGUCUUUUCACAUAGUCCCACAUUUCUUGGAGACUUUGCUCAUUCCUUUUUAUCCUUUUUUCUCUAUUCUUGUCUUCUCGUUUUAUUUCAUUAAGUUGGUCUUCGACCUCUGAUAUCCUUUCUUCUGCUUGAUCAAUUUGAGUGUUUAAACCUGUGCAUACUUCUCGGAGUUCUCAUAUUGUAUUCUUCAGUUCCAUUAAUUCAUUUAUAUUCCUCUCUAAAUUGUCUAUUCUCAUUAGGCUUUCAUCAAACCUUUUUUCAAAGUUCUUAGUUUCUUUACAUUGGGCUACAACAUGUUCUUUUAACUCACAGAAGUUUCUUAUUAUCCACCUUCUGAAGCCUGAUUCUAUUAAUGGAAUGCACUCGUUCUCCAUCAAGCCUUGUUCCCUUGUUGAUGAGGAACUGUGAUCCUCUUUAGAGGGAGAGGCAUUCUGAUUUUGAGUAUUCUCAGCCUUUUUAAGCUGGUUUCUUCCCAUCGUUGUAAAUGUAUCCACCUGUCGUCUUUGUAAUUACCAACUUUCAAAUUAGGUCUCUGCAUGGGCGUCCAAGUUGUUAAUUCCCAGGGCGGAAAUUUGAGCAACCCACUGCGGCCAAAACAGUGGCAUUAAGACUGAUGGUGCUUUUCUGCCUGGGAAUCUCCAGUCUGGCUCCUUCUUGAGUCCGUAAUAGGCGACUCUGCCUUCCCGGAGCUCCAAACGUCGGUCAAAAGGGGAACCAGUCCCGUUUACUCUGCACCAAGAGCUGCUGCGCCGAGGUGCCAGCAAAACCACUGCACUGGCCACAAAAGUCGUUCUGGCGACCCCUGGGGGCUCCUCCACUGGGAAUCUUCUGGCCCGUGAGCGACAAAAAUUUGUCAGAGUGUGGCGUCCUCUCACUCUCUGUGCUUUCACUGGGAGCUGCUAUCCCGAGAUGUUAGCGAUCAGCCAUCUUGGCCUCUAAAAACCUAAUCUGAUUGGCAGUUGUCACGUUGUGGUCAUUGAGGAAAUAAUCUUUUUCUUUGCUUAUACAUUAUAGAUAAUACUUUUACAGUAAGCACUAACCACAGCUAUUCAAGAGAACUAGUUAAGCAAAAUAUCAAUACGCAUUUCUUUUGGUGUUGUCAAAGGAUUUAGUGGAUUCAUUACUUCCGACAAGUUCCACUGCCCCAUAUUCUAUCAUAGUAAAAAUUUCCUAUUAAUAUUUUGAAAAGACUGCAAUAAGCCAUUUAAAUUUUUUUAAAGUGGGCUGGGGCAGGGCAUGAUGGUUCAUGCCUGUAAUCCAAGCACUUUUGGGAGGCUAAGGCAAGAGGAUCGCUUGAGCCUGGGAGUUCAAGACCAGUCUGGGCAGCACAGUGAGAUCCAGUCUCGAUUAUCUUGUUUUGUUUUUUUGAGAUAGUCUCACUCGGUUGCCUGGGCUGGAGCACAGUGGCACCAUCACAGCUCACUGCAACCUGUCUCCCAGGCUCAGGCAAUCCUCCCACCUCAGCCUCCCCAGUAGGUGGGACUGUAGGUGCACGCCAUCACACCUGGCUAGUUUUUAAAUAUUUUGUAGGGAUGGCAUUUUGCCAUGUUACCCAGGCUGGUCUCAAACUCCUGAGCUCAAGCCAUCCUGUUUCAGCCUCUGAAAAUGCUGGAAUUACAGGUAUUAGCCACUGUGCCCAGGCUAUUAUUUUAAAUAAUCACUUAAAAAGCAGGCUGGGUUCAGCGGCCCAUGCGUGUAAUCCUAGCACUCUGAAGCCAAGUCAGGAGGAUUGCUUGAGCCCAAAAGUUUGAGACCAGACAAGGCCACAGAGCAAGGCCCCAUCUCUACAAAAAAUAAAAUUGGCCAGAUAUGCAGGCAUUUGUCUGUAGUUGCAGCUACUCAUGAGGCUGAGGUGACAGGAUUGCUUGAGCCUGAGAGUGAACUGUGAUCAUACCAUUGCGUUCCAGUUGGGGUGACAGAAUGAGACCCCAUCUCAAAGAAAAAAAAAAAGCUAGUCUGGGCAACAUAGCAAGACUGUCUCUACCAAAAAAAAAAAAUGUUUUUUUUAAAUUAGCUGGGCAUGGUGGUAAACACCUGUAGUCCCGACUACUUGGAGGCUGAGGCAGGAGGAUCACUUGAGUCCAGGAGUUUAGGGUCACAGUGAGCCAUGCCCACACCACUGCAUUCCAGCCUGGGCAACAGAGCAAGACCCUGUUUCUAAAAAAAAGUUUAAAAAAGGAAAUCAAGAAAUGGAAAGAAUGAAUUCUGUAUCUUCUGCAGUAGGAAUUUAACCUUUAGAGUGUGCUAAAGCAUUCUAAAAGCACACAUAUAGCCUGGGCAUGGUGGCUCAUGCCUAUAAUCCCAGCACUUUGGGAGGCUGAGGCGAGAGGAUCACCUGAGGUCAUGAGUUUGAGACCAGCCUGACCAACAUGGAGAAACCUCUACUAAAAAUAUGUAAUUAGCCAGGCAUGGUGGCACAUGCCUAUAAUCCCAGCUACUUUGGAGGCUGAAGCAGGAGAAUCACUUGAACCAGAAAGGCAGUGGUUGCCAUGCGCAGAGAUUGCGCCAUUGCACUCCAUCUCAAAAAAACGAGAAACAAAACAAAAAGACACUUAUUGACAUUGUUUACUACUAUACUGUGAGUGACCAGUGCAUUUUGUCUUUUCCCUUAACUUUGGAAUCGGCUUUUGGCAAGGACUGAUACCACACUUUUAUUACUAAUAAAAAAGAUUAAACUAUCAUUGUAGUUUAAAAAAAAAAAAAAGCUCAGCCUCUAAAGAAAUCCAAAUUAAAUCCGAGUAAAAUGUGUGUUCACCCAUGUAAUGGGAUAUUUCACCAUGAUUGCAACAGUAUUUUUUCUAAUUUAUGUUGUCCCCAAAACAUGUUUUUUGUUUAAAUGUCUAGAAAUCAUACUUAAUAUGUAGAUAAUUAUGGCUGUCACACACAAAAAGGCAUUGUCCAUUUAACAUCAUAUUUUGUAUUUUCUAGAGAUUUCUUUUAAUUAAUCCCACAAACAAUGAGUGCUAGGUAAAUGCAGGGCACUGUGCCAGGUGCUGGGAAGAUGUGUUGAAUGAAUGGCCAUCACACACCUAUGUAUUUCUUAGUGCUUUUAAUUUUAAUUCUUUUGGAAUAUCUAGAUGUCAAAAAGUGAAUAUAUACAUACAGAAUUCAAAACAACUUCCUAAAUGGUUAUUGGCCAGUCAUAGACAUCUUUUUUUGAAAGUCUGAAUUGUCAAAUAGUUCUAAAGUGCAUUCCUGCAACUAAUAAAUAGCAGCAUUUGUUUAUAAAACCUUAAGAAAUUCAGACCAGGACUGGAAAAGUCACAAUAAAAAAUAAGGCGUGAUCUAGAUAUAUUCUUCCUUAAUCAUCUAAGACAAACGCUUGUGUGAAUUAGUUUAUAAGUAUACAUGAAAUAUAAAAAGCAUUAUAAAAAAAUUCAUACAGCAAUGAGAAAAGGAGUCUUCCUCUGCUAUUAAUAUUAAAUAUGGCAAAAAAUAUACUAUACAAGGUUUAUUGAAUACUAGUUGUCUUUGGAACCACGGGAAAAGCUUUGAUCUAGGUCAGUGUAUGAUACAGCGGAGGUCUGUGAUGUUCAACAAAGCUGAAGUUCUACAAGAUGACUUGGAAGACUGCUUCUGACGAGGCUUUGAAGAAAUCAUCCACACAAAUGAAAAUGUUCUUUCACUACUGGGACUGUCAGUUCAUGGCUUCUUGCGCCUAAAACAUAACAACCAGCACUUUUUGCAAUUUGUUAACACAUUCAUAGCAAAUCAGUCUUUAGGAGGGCUUUGAGAACUGCUGUUUUAUCAUGAGAAAAUUCAAGUCCCUCUGAGAAGGCAAACAACUUUUAUAAAAUAUGCUUGUCUUAGUAUUAAAUUUAGGAAACAGGAUUUCCCAUCAUUAUCCUGUUGCAGUAAUUUUCCAAAUUGCUCACUAAGGAAUGUAAAUGUUUAAAAUGGUGUGUGUGUGUGUAUAAAGAAGGGGCUUUAUUAAACUAUGGAAAAAGAC